rnacentral:tRNA from 1 species
CCGCCUGUAGCUCAACGGAGAGAGCAGCCGGCUUCUACCCGGCGGGUUGCGGGUUCGAAUCCUGCCAGGCGGGCCA